rnacentral:rRNA from 1 species
UACGUAGGGUGCGAGCGUUGUCCGGAAUUAUUGGGCGUAAAGAGCUCGUAGGCGGUUUGUCGCGUCGGCCGUGAAAACUUGGGGCUUAACUCCAAGCUUGCGGUCGAUACGGGCAGACUUGAGUUCGGCAGGGGAGACUGGAAUUCCUGGUGUAGCGGUGAAAUGCGUAGAUAUCUGGAGGAACACCGGUGGCGAAGGCGGCGUUCUGGACUGCAACUGACACUGAGGAACGAAAGCCAGGGGAGCAAACGGG